rnacentral:misc_RNA from 1 species
AAGAAAAGAAUGAGGAAUUCUGAACCAAAUGAAGAUGAAAAUAUAUGUUAUACAAAUUCAUGACUCCAAUAAUUGAAGUUUGAAGAAAAAAAAUAUAAGGUCUUGAUCUUGUAGUUGAUCAUAGACUCUUACUUCUUCAUCCUCUAGAGCAAGAACAUGACAUCUAGAAGAAGAAGAAGAAGGAGAAAGAAAGAAAGAAAGAAAGUGAAGAACUGAAGAAUGAAGUGACUUGGACUUGGAGAGUCGUUUUCUGGGUUGUGGUGGGGAGCGGCAAAGCCGAAA